GAGAGUUAAACAGUACGUGAAAUUGUUGAAAGGGAAACGAUUGAAGCCAGUCAUACCUUCGGGUAAUCAGCCUUUCGGGUGCGAUUCUGUGGAGUUUGAGGAGCUUAACACCUUCAUGCUUUGCAUAUUCGUGCUCUUGGGUGUACUUGCUCGUAUGGUUGGUUAACAUCAAUUUUGAUGGUCAUAAAAUGACUGGAGGAAUGUAGCUUCGAUCUCGUAUUGAAGUGUUAUAGCCUUCGGUAGAUGUGAUGAUCGAGAUUGAGGAUUGCAACGGAUACCCUUCGGGGCUACCUGUCUGAUCUCUGAUCGUUGCUCUGGUGCCGAAAGCUUGCUUACGGUUGUCAAAGUCGAUGCUCAAUAGGUUAGAAUGGGUUAAAUUCGUUAAGGAUGUUGACGUAAUGGCUUUAAACGA
rnacentral:rRNA from 1 species